UGCAACCUUUUUACAUUUUAGCAAAUUGUGGAUGAGAAAGCUGAAGACAUCACCAAGUUGGGAAGUACAGAACAGGCCAGUAUUAGUAACACAUUUUUUUUUUUUUUUUGACACAGAGUCUCGCACUGUUGCCAAGGCUGGAGUGCAGUGGCGAGAUCUUGACUCUCUGCAAUCUCUGCCUCCCACGUUCAAGCAAUUCUCAGUACCACAAUUAUUAAAUAUUCUCUGUUCACUGAAUUUCCUUUAAAUAUAAAAUUAUUAUUUUUGAAGCUUCUUCUUCCUUUUGCAUUCUGGGAAAAUUAUAUUUCUUUGUAUAGAAAGGAGUCAGUAGUAUCUGGCAGUCCAGACACUCAAUGAUAGGUAUUAUGAAUGAUAAGUAAUUGAAAUGAAUAAAUAAAAUAAAAUAAUAUUAAAUUAUGAACAAAUAAAUUAAUUAAAUGAAUACUUAAAGGUGCUGGAAUAAUAAUGUUAGAAAUAGCAACAGCUGCAGUAGCAGAACAGAAAUAAUAUUCCUUAAAAAGAGCAUGGUAACGUAUUGCCCACCUGGUAUAUGU
rnacentral:lncRNA from 1 species